UACGUAGGGGGCGAGCGUUGUCCGGAAUUAUUGGGCGUAAAGAGCGUGUAGGCUGUUCGGUAAGUCUGCCGUGAAAACCUGAGGCUCAACCUCGGGCGUGCGGUGGAUACUGCCGGGCUAGAGUGCGGAAGAGGCGAGUGGAAUUCCUGGUGUAGCGGUGAAAUGCGCAGAUAUCAGGAGGAACACCAAUUGCGAAGGCAGCUCGCUGGGACGUAACUGACGCUGAGACGCGAAAGCGUGGGGAGCAAACAGG
rnacentral:rRNA from 1 species